CAGGGACAGCUGCCAGAGAAUGAAGCAGAGGGCUGUGGGGUGAAGGGACUGCCAGUCUUCUGCCACUCCUUUUUGUGGUCCUUCCCUUCACUGCCUUCCUUCUCCCAGACAGACUGGGCAUCCAGUUCCAAUCCAAAGGCUGCCCCUUUGACCAGGCCCAUCUUCUCCACCUCACAUCAGACAGCCAAUCGGCUGCCCAGACCUCGAAACCUCAGUAAACUAGAAGGAAAUGGACCUUGGCAAACGUGUGUCAGGAGAGGAUGACUUGGAGGUGUCCACCGUGUUUCUUACUGAAGAUGUCUAGAAGUCAAUUGGGGUCAAGGAACAAGCCUCUACUCACAUGCAUGUGGGCAAAUGAAGUCACAGAACAAAUAACCUACCCUGCAUCCAGGCACAGAGUCCAGGGACACCCCCUGCUGCUGCCUCACCUAAGAGAAAGUGGCCCAAGAAGCACUGGCCCGGUGCCUGCUGAUGCCAGGAGCCCUCUGCUACUGCCUGACACAAGCAUCCUUCGCUUCCCCCUCCCAGGCCCUCCCCGAAAACGUGGGCCACAGAUACCACUCCCUAUGCCACUGAGCCCCACAUUUCCCAUCCCCCAAGCCACUCCCACCAGCCCCAGAGCUUUCCUACAUUUAUGAUUUGUCCAAAAAUGUGAUGCCCUUCAGCCCCCAGAAGGUCAUCCUCCAGGCUGUGAUCAUCACACAGGGGGUCCCGCAUGGGGUCCUCACAGGCCUUCAACCCAGCACAAAUCGUGGCCUGGUUUGACCUUUGAAAUACCUCAACAUCUAAAAUUCAG
rnacentral:lncRNA from 1 species